CCUACGGGAGGCUGCAGUGGGGAAUAUUGGACAAUGGGGGGAACCCUGAUCCAGCCAUGCCGCGUGUGUGAAGAAGGCCCUCGGGUUGUAAAGCACUUUCAGUGAGGAAGAACGCCUGGUGGUUAAUACCCAUCAGGAAAGACAUCACUCACAGAAGAAGCACCGGCUAACUCCGUGCCAGCAGCCGCGGUAAUACGGAGGGUGCGAGCGUUAAUCGGAAUUACUGGGCGUAAAGCGCGCGUAGGUGGCUUGAUAAGCCGGUUGUGAAAGCCCCGGGCUCAACCUGGGAACGGCAUCCGGAACUGUCAAGCUAGAGUGCAGGAGAGGAAGGUAGAAUUCCCGGUGUAGCGGUGAAAUGCGUAGAGAUCGGGAGGGAUACCAGUGGCGAAGGCGGCCUUCUGGACUGACACUGACACUGAGGUGCGAAAGCGUGGGUAGCAAACAGGAUUAGAUACCCGUGUAGUC
rnacentral:rRNA from 1 species